GAUGAACGCUGGCGGCGUGCCUAAUACAUGCGAGUCGAGCGAACAGACGAGGAGCUUGCUCCUCUGACGUUAGCGGCGGACGGGUGAGUAACACGUGGAUAACCUACCUAUAAGACUGGGAUAACUUCGGGAAACCGGAGCUAAUACCGGAUAAUAUAUUGAACCGCAUGGUUCAAUAGUGAAAGACGGUUUUGCUGUCACUUAUAGAUGGAUCCGCGCCGCAUUAGCCAGUUGGUAAGGUAACGGCUUACCAAGGCAACGAUGCGUAGCCGACCUGAGAGGGUGAUCGGCCACACUGGAACUGAGACACGGUCCAGACUCCUACGGGAGGCAGCAGUAGGGAAUCUUCCGCAAUGGGCGAAAGCUUGACGGAGCAACGCCGCGUGAGUGAUGAAGGUCUUCGGAUCGUAAAACUCUGUUAUUAGGGAAGAACAAAUGUGUAAGUAACUAUGCACGUCUUGACGGUACCUAAUCAGAAAGCCACGGCUAACUACGUG
rnacentral:rRNA from 1 species